AGUGCUAUGGCUUAGUUAGUUAAAGCACCGGACUAGCGAAACGGAGUCGUAGGUUCGAAUCCCACCAAAACAA
rnacentral:tRNA from 1 species